GUCCUCUUGGUUGUAUUUGAGGUCUGACCUGCCCAGUGAAUUAUUAUUUUAACGGCCGCAGUAUUUUGACUGUGCAAAGGUAGCAUAAUCAUUAGUCUUUUAAUAGGAGGCUGGUAUGAAGGGUUUGACGAGGUGUUAGCUGUCUCAUUUAAUUUGAAAUUAAAAUUUAACUUUUCAGUUAAAAGGCUGAAAUAAUAUUGGAAGACGAGAAGACCCUAUAGAGCUUUAUAUUUAAAAUUUUAAUUAAUUUUUGUUUAUUAUUAUUUAUUAUUUUUUUAAUUAUUUUGUUGGGGUGACAAAAAUAUAUAAUGAACUUUUUUAUUUAAAUAACAUUGAUUUAUGAAAAUUAGAUCCAGUCUUAUUGAUUGUUAGAUUAAGUUACC
rnacentral:rRNA from 1 species